rnacentral:rRNA from 1 species
UACGUAGGGUGCAAGCGUUAAUCGGAAUUACUGGGCGUAAAGCGUGCGCAGGCGGUUAUGUAAGACAGGUGUGAAAUCCCCGGGCUCAACCUGGGAACUGCAUUUGUGACUGCAUGGCUAGAGUACGGUAGAGGGGGAUGGAAUUCCGCGUGUAGCAGUGAAAUGCGUAGAUAUGCGGAGGAACACCGAUGGCGAAGGCAAUCCCCUGGACCUGUACUGACGCUCAUGCACGAAAGCGUGGGGAGCAAACAGG